rnacentral:rRNA from 1 species
AGCGAACGCUGGCGGCAUGCUUAACACAUGCAAGUCGCACGGGCAGUAGCAAUACUGUCAGUGGCGGACGGGUGAGUAACGCGUAGGAAUCUAUCCUUGGAAUGGGGGACAACCGUGGGAAACUACGGCUAAUACCGCAUGAUGCCUGAGGGCCAAAGACGAAAGUCGUUUGAGGAGGAGCCUGCGUCUGAUUAGGUAGUUGGUGGGGUAAAGGCCUACCCAAGCCUACGAUCAGUAGCUGGUCUGAGAGGAUGAUCAGCCACAUUGGGACUGAGACACGGCCCAAACUCCUACGGGAGGCAGCAGUGGGGAAUAUUGGACAAUGGGCGCAAGCCUGAUCCAGCAAUGCCGCGUGGGUGAAGAAGGUCUUCGGAUUGUAAAGCCCUUUUGGCGGGGACGAUGAUGACGGUACCCGCAGAAUAAGCUCCGGCUAACUUCGUG